UACGUAGGGUGCAAGCGUUAUCCGGAAUUAUUGGGCGUAAAGAGCUCGUAGGCGGUUUGUCGCGUCUGCUGUGAAAACUGGAGGCUCAACCUCCAGCCUGCAGUGGGUACGGGCAGACUAGAGUGCGGUAGGGGAGAUUGGAAUUCCUGGUGUAGCGGUGGAAUGCGCAGAUAUCAGGAGGAACACCAACGGCGAAGGCAGCUCGCUGGGACGGUACUGACGCUGAGGCGCGAAAGCGUGGGGAGCAAACAGG
rnacentral:rRNA from 1 species